rnacentral:rRNA from 1 species
UACGUAGGGUGCAAGCGUUGUUCGGAAUUACUGGGCGUAAAGGGCGCGUAGGCGGCCUGUUAAGUCGAACGUGAAAUCCCCGGGCUCAACCCGGGAACUGCGUCCGAUACUGGCAGGCUUGAAUCCGGGAGAGGGAUGCGGAAUUCCAGGUGUAGCGGUGAAAUGCGUAGAUAUCUGGAGGAACACCGGUGGCGAAGGCGGCAUCCUGGACCGGCAUUGACGCUGAGGCGCGAAAGCCAGGGGAGCAAACGGG